GCCUCGGUAGCUCAGGGGUAGAGCAGCGGCCUUGUAAGCCGCCGGUCGAGGGUUCAAUUCCCUCCCGAGGCU
rnacentral:tRNA from 1 species